rnacentral:rRNA from 1 species
UGGGGAAUUUUGGACAAUGGGCGAAAGCCUGAUCCAGCAAUGCCGCGUGUGUGAAGAAGGCCUUCGGGUUGUAAAGCACUUUUGUCCGGAAAGAAAUGGCUCUGGUUAAUACCUGGGGUCGAUGACGGUACCGGAAGAAUAAGGACCGGCUAACUACGUGCCAGCAGCCGCGGUAAUACGUAGGGUCCAAGCGUUAAUCGGAAUUACUGGGCGUAAAGCGUGCGCAGGCGGUUGUGCAAGACCGAUGUGAAAUCCCCGAGCUUAACUUGGGAAUUGCAUUGGUGACUGCACGGCUAGAGUGUGUCAGAGGGGGGUAGAAUUCCACGUGUAGCAGUGAAAUGCGUAGAGAUGUGGAGGAAUACCGAUGGCGAAGGCAGCCCCCUGGGAUAACACUGACGCUCAUGCACGAAAGCGUGGGGAGCAAACAGGAUUAGAUACCCUGGUAGUCCACGCCCUAAACGAUGUCAACUAGUUGUUGGGGAUUCAUUUCCUUAGUAACGUAGCUAACGCGUGAAGUUGACCGCCUGGGGAGUACGGUCGCAAGAUUAAAAGCUUAAAGUG